UCCCAAGAGUGUGUUCUGUGUGGAUGGAA
rnacentral:piRNA from 2 species